GAUCAAUUUUUAACAAUUGUAAUAGUUAUCGUACAGAUACCUAAAUAAAAAAAAUAUAUAAUAAUAACUGAUAAUCCAACGGGAUUGGAAUUUUUUCGGACAACUGGCUUUUCAUAUGGUUCUCUAACUAUUUACGAUUUGCUUGUAUGUUUCCGGGCACAUCUAUCCGUGUAGAAUCUCUAUAAUAAACUUCUCCGUUUCGAUUCGAAAAUUUUUUUCUGAAAUUCGUUUUUCGUGUUUGGCGAUUUAAAUGUUUCAGCGUCUUCAGCGAUCGGUUUCCCAAAACAAUACA